UGAAGAAGAAGAAUCAUUUAAUGUAGUUUGAAGACAUUAGUUUAACUGUUUUGUUUUCUGCGCUGUAAUGUGCUGCAUUUUCUCUAUUUUACAUCACAGGGGACGGCAUGGCGGUGUUGGGAGAGUGGCUGUGCCACCAAACUGAGGGUUCCUGGUUCGAUCCUCACCUUCUACAAACCUCGCAAGACACUUCAUCCUUGCUCCUGAUGGGUCGUGGUGAAUGUGGAAAUAGUGUCAAAGCGCUUUGAGUACCUUGAAGGUAGAAAAGCGCUAUAUAAGUAUAACCCAUUAUACCAUUUUUUUUUUUAAAGCACUCUUUGGGAGGAGCCCGCAUGGACCCCAUGUGACCCCAAGAUGGAGGAAACAGGAGAAAGACGUGCAGUUUUAGGAGUUUGUUACUCGCAGAGCGGCAAUGAGCUGUUGGUCCACUAAGAUCGGACCCCGGGCGGGCCGGCGGAGCUGUCCAGUGACGACUGAGAAGCUCGUCGUGUGAGGGAGGCCAGAGUCGGAUCCACCAGAGAAGAAGGGCCACUGAUUUGAGAAGUGCUGCGACUCCUGCGGCUGCCAACAAUGGCCACCACGCGGGCGCUCAGACUGGAUCGUCUCCUCUUGCUGCCUGCGCCCACUGUGCCCAACGCUGUGUCUGAUUGGCUGCCAUCAGUGCGCUCCUGGCUGUAGAUCUCGCCGCUCACGCUGGAGCUCUUCAGCAUGCUGCGUCCCGCCGAUGCACGCAUCUGCCGACUGCAGGAAGAAGACGCUGAGGCACUCUGCACUGCCGCCUCGGAUUGACCUGUGCAUCUCCAGGACCUCACUGUCAUUGCCGUGACGAUGGGUGAACGAAUGAAAAAACACAACAGAAGAGGAUGGCAACUCAGAAAGGCAUGUGAUUUUUUUAUGAAUGGGGGAAAAAACCAAUGAAAUAAAUAAUUCUGAGGUAUCACAUUUAGGUCAAGUUUCAUUAAACAAUACACAUUAGACUGACACGGUUAGUAGUGUUAGUAAAUGUUAGUUUGCAAUAUCACAUAAUACAGUGCACAAAAUGUAUCUUUUAGAUAUUACUCGUCUAUUUUGUCAUAGUUUAUCAAUAAGUGACUCGUUUAAUGUAAUCCCCCAGGUUGCCAUACUCCCUAAAACAGGUUACCUGUCUUCGGAGUACUCGAAGUCCGAAUCACCAGACCGUUGGUGCUCCAAAUGGGAGUCGUGGUAGUGGGACGGGGAUUGGGAGUGGUGCCGAUUCUGGUGGAUCUCAUCCAGGCUCCUGAUGUGAAUAAAAACUGAAUUAUUGUCAAGUAUAAGCGAUCAAAGAAUGAAAAUGUCUGGAUCUUGUAGUUGAUUAAGUGGAUGCAAUUGUUACGGCUCAGGCUCCUGCCGCCUCUCAUUUCAUCUGUGUGCGCCUUUCGACAUGCCCACGGGCGUUCCGCACCUGGCACGGCAAUCUAAAACCAACACACCUGACUCCACUCCCUUCAUAAGCCAGCGCAUCCUGCGUUCCGGUGCCAGAACGUAGCUACCUGUUUUAUUACUGUAAGCCUACACGUCUCUCCCUAUGUGCUCAUCGUCUUGAAGUUAAAGUUAAAGUUAAAAGUACCAAUGAUUGUCACACACACACGAGGUGUGGCGAAAAUAUUCUCUGCAUUUGACCUAUCACCCUUGAUCACCCCCUGGGAGGUGAGGGGAGCAGUGGCAAGCAGCAUUGGCCGCGCUCGGGAAUAAUUUUGGUGAUUUAACCCCCAAUUCCAAACCUUGAUGCUGAGUGCCAAGCAGAGAGGUAAUGGGUCCCAUUUUUAUAGUCUUUGGUAUGACUCGGCCGGGGUUUGAACUCACAACCUACCGAUCUCAGGGCGGACACUCUAACCACUAGGCCACUGAGUCUUGUGUCCUGUGUCGUCAUCCCGCAGCGUUCCCCCAUUUCCUGGUUUGGAGUUGUGUGUCUCGUCUCCCUGGAUUCCCCGCUGCCUUCCUGGAUCUCGACCUCACGCCCGGACACAGACCUUGACGCCUCGCUCCUGCCUUUGACCUCUCGCUUGCCCACGGACCUCCGAUCUUGCUCCAAAUAACUCUAAAAUUAAGUCUUUCUUACUUAGAAUAUGUUCCCCAUACUAAAGUGUUACCAAAUAAACCAAAUAUAUAUUAUCACACAACUUUAGUAUGCUUAAAGUCCGUUGCUAUAGUUAUUAGCUAUUGUGCUCAAGCUGUAUUUUUCCUCUCUGUGCAAGGACAAAACUUCUUGUCUGAGGGGUGGCCUCAGACAAGAAGAUCUUUGUUUUAGCCCGCUAACAGCCAAGGACUUCAAGGACCUCAACGCAGAUAAGACGACAGCACGCAGACGAAGCAGAGACAAGGCCCCCAGCACAUUCCGUCACGUAUUGUGCGUACUGGACCUGCUUUGCAUGAUAUAUGUGACCACUCCUCUUAGAGGCGGCCUCAGUGAUGUUGACUAGGGAACUCCUGAAUAAAUAGAGGGACGCGGGGGCCGUACCUUAGAGCAGUGGUUCUCAAAAGGGGGUACGCGUACCCCUGGGGGUACUUGAAGGUAUGCCAACGGGUACGUGAGAUUUUUUUUAAACGUCUGUCAAAAAGAACUGUGAAAAGAAAUGCAACAAUGCAAUAUUCAAUGUUGACAGCUAGAUUUUUUGUGGACAUGUUCCAUAAAUAUUGAUGUUAAAGAUUUCUUUUUUUGUGAAGAAAUGUUUAGAAUUAAGUUCAUGAAUCCAGAUGGAUCUCUAUUACAAUCCCCAAAGAGGGCACUUUAUGUUGAUGAUUACUUCUAUGUGUAGAAAUCUUUAUUUAUAAUUGAAUCACUUGUUUAUUUUUCAACAAGUUUUUAGCUAUUUUUAUAUGUUUUUAUCCAAAUAGUUCAAGAAAGACCACAACAAAUGAUCAAUAUUUU